CUUUAAAACACCAGUUCUCAUACAAUCACUGAAGCUAAGCAACGUCAAGCCUGGUCAGUACCUAGAUGGGUAACCACUUGGGAAUACCUGGUAC